AGAUAAAACUACAGAUGACACAGCCAAAGUCAAGACAACGCGUGAGCUGAUGACAAAUGGCAUUGCCUUCUGGGAACAUUAGCUUCCUAAGUGCUGGAGAUCUUAAGUGCAACUUCACUACCAAAAGAGACCCUGGCAUUAUGUGAUCGUUGAGCAGAGGUUGCAAGAAUGGAAAAACAAAGGACCCUUCUAGCUGUAUUGCAUAAAUAAAAACAAUUUAAAGAUUCAGAUGAAUCAAAAAAUCAGUCCAGCCAUGGGAGAAAAUGCAAGUUUUUGGGAGAGCUUGAUAUAUGCACAUCCUACCUGCACCACUUGGAAGCAAGAGGCAGAGGGAUCUAUCUACCAUCUAGCUAGUAUUCUCUUUGUUGUUGGCUUCAUGGGUGGAAGUGGAUUCUUCGGGCUACUUUAUGUCUUCAGUUUGCUUGGACUGGGCUUUCUCUGCUCUUCUGUUUGGGCUUGGCUGGAUGUCUGUGCUGCUGACAUAUUCUCCUGGAACUUUAUACUGUUUGCUAUAUGCUUCGUACAGUUCAUUUAUGUUACCUACCAAGUUCGGAGUGUGUCCUUUGACAAAGAAUUCCAGGAACUCUACAGUGCUCUUUUUCAGCCUCUAGGAAUUUCCUUAACUGUCUAUAGGAAGAUUGUCUUGUGUUGUGAUGCAGAAGUGGUUACUCUGGAGAAGGAGCACUGUUACGCUAUGCAAGGCAAAACACCUAUUGAUAAACUGUCCUUGCUUGUAUCAGGCAGGAUCAGAGUGACAGUUGAUGGAGAGUUUCUGCAUUAUAUUUUUCCUCUUCAAUUUCUGGAUUCUCCUGAAUGGGAUUCACUGAGGCCCACAGAAGAGGGUAUUUUCCAGGUAACACUUACAGCAGAGACAGAUUGUCGAUAUGUGGCCUGGAGGAGAAAGAAGCUGUAUUUGCUGUUUGCUAAACACCGUUUCAUCUCACGCCUGUUCUCAGUUUUAAUUGGGAGUGACAUUGCUGAAAAACUAUAUGCCUUGAAUGACAGGGUACAAGUGGAAAAAGGAUUUAGAUAUGACAUUCGGUUACCAAACUUCUACCAUGUUUCACUGCCAGGGACACCUACAGUGCAGUCCUCUCAACACCUGCAGAGAAAUUCUCCGACGCGGAAGCUAACAGGUGUUACAAAUUGUCACUCCUUCAGGAAACAGGUGGUGGUGGGGAGAUUAUGUACUUUUAGAUUAGAAAUCAUUUCUUUUUACUACCCAAUUUCUCCAGUAAUUCCAUGGACAACCAAAGGUCUUGCCAGCCUUUCAGGGAAAUCGGUUGGUCUACCUAGUGCAAGCAAGACUUGCAACUUUGUCAUAAUUUGGCCGCGAGUCUUCAAGAUGAAUUCCACGGCAAUUAGCCCACUCACCGUUACUCCACUAGGUUUUGUUCCAGACUUAAAAAAUGCCACUCUUGUGCCUUUCAAUGAAACUGCAUGUGAAAACUGGAGAGAGAUUCAUCAUCUUGUUUUCCAUGUGGCAAACAUUUGUUUUGCAGUUGGACUAGUUAUUCCAACUACUCUGAAUCUUCAUAUGAUUUUUCUGCGAGGCCUGCUGACUAUAGGAUGUGCGUUGUUCAUCGUUUGGGCUACGCUCUACCGUUGUGCCUUGGACAUAAUGAUCUGGAAUUCUGUUUUUUUGGUUGUCAACCUUUUACAUUUUAUAUACCUAGUGUAUAAAAGAAGACCGAUCAAGAUAGAGAAGGAGCUUAGCAGUCUCUACAAGAGAAUGUUUGAACAGCUCCAUGUGCCUCCAGAGAAAUUCCAGAAGAUAUACAUACUUUAGUCUGUUACCUUCUGCAUUACCUUUGUCAAUAACCAUAUUCAAAUUUAAGUUAUUCAGCCUCCAUGAUUUUAAAAUGUUGAUUCACGCAUUUUUAUUUCCAGAAUGAAGGUCUCUUAUCGAGGGCAUUUUCUGCAUAAUAUUUACCCCUGUGCCUUUAUAGAUUCUCCUGAAUUUCGAUCAACGCAGAUGAAUCGGGGUGAGAAAUUCCAGGUCACCAUUAUUGCAGAUGAUAACUGCAAGUUCCUGUGCUGGUCCAGGGAAAGGCUGACUUAUUUUCUGGAAUCUGAGCCAUUUCUUUAUGAGAUCUUUAGGUACCUUAUUGGCAAAGAUAUUACAAAUAAACUCUACUCAUUGAAUGACCCAACAUUAAAUGACAAGGCCUCAAAAAAGAUUGAUCGACAACCUAGUCUUUGCUCACAGCUCUCUGUGAUGCAGAUGAGAAACAGCAUGGCCAGUACCAGUGACAGUGAAGAUGGCUUGCAGAUGUUUCUCCGUGGGACUUCCUCUGCAUCCUCGCUCCUGACAGGUCCAGCGGAAUGCCUCCCCUAAUUGGUUCAGCAAUCACCCGUGUGAAGAAAUCAUCUUCAACGCUUCAGAAAUCUCCUGGACUGCUUACACCAAGCCCUUUCUACCAGCUAUCAGGGUGGUUAAAGUUCCCCACCAGUGUCAAGGCCUGCGAUCGUGAGGCUUCAUCCGGUUGUCUAAAGAUGGCUUCAGUCUACUUCCUCUUCUUUAUCAGGCAGCCUGUAGCAGAUAUCUACCAUGAAGUCUGCCGUGUUGGUCUGUCUUCUGAUAUUUACCCAUAAGGUGUUGAUUGGCUUUUUCGCGUGUUCCAAGACAAAGCUCCAUGCCUCUAAGCCGCUCCUCUGCAUAGAGUGCACUUGGACAGACCUACUUACUUGGAAGCCUGAAAGAAAUUGUAAAACUGUGUUUGUGCAAUUAGCCAGAACUGAAAUUCUCUUUCAGGCUUAGCAGCAGAACACUUACACCACUAUUUCAGCUUUGGGAGAAAGUAAUCGAAAUAUAUGCAAUUUUCAGUUGUAAUUACAUGAAUCCCUAAGAUGCAUC